GAGAGCUUGGCAGGAAAUAGCUGAACAAGUCAAUGCGUGAGUCAAAUAAAUUAGUAAAAUAAAAUAAAAUAAGAGGAAAGUUUAAUAUCUUCCACUUAUUCAAUAUGUAAAUUGUGUGUGUGUGUGUGUGUGUGUGUGUGUGUGUGUGUGUGUGUGUGUGUGUGUGUGUGUGUGUGUGUGUGUGUGUGUGUGUGUGUGUGUGUGUGUGUGUGUGUGUGUGUGUCAAUUUACGCAACCCCGAGUUGCCCCACGAGGACUUGGCAGCAAAUGAAGUACAAAAAUAUAGUUUAAACAGCAAAUCGAAAAAAUGCAGAGGCCCGGCAGACUGGAGGGGGUCCACCACCUGCAGCCCUCACAGAGGCUGAGGAGAUGGCCCUCAGCCAACAGAGUAUGCGUCCUGUGGCUGAGGGCAUCCCUGGGGGGAGCUCCUCUGAUCCCCCCACCCCCCAGGAUAGAAGUGCCUUUACAGUAUAAGAGGUUGGUUAUUCAAAAUAAUUAAAUAUGUACACGCAACCCAGCGCGUUGCAAAUUAGAUGGGGCAAUAUUCUGGCUCAAGUAAUAAUUGCACUGUCUAAUCAUCUUCUUCCAGUUACUGAUGGCGUCAUCGCCCUACUUGAACCAGAUGCCCUCACCAACCUCCAUGCAAUUGUAACAAUUCAAAAGAUGCAAAAGGAUGCUUUGGAGAUCCAAAUUUUGGAACAUAAGUUAUAGG